ensembl:lncRNA
GGAGGCUAUAUACAGGGGUACCGGUACAGAGUCAAUGUGGAGGCUAUAUACAGGGGGUACCAGUACAGAGUCAAUGUGGAGGCUAUAUACAGGGGUACCAGUACAGAGUCAAUGUGGAGGCUAUAUACAGGGGGUACCGGUACAGAGUCAAUGUGGAGGCUAUAUACAGGGGGUACCAGUACAGAGUCAAUGUGGAGGCUAUAUACAGGGGGUACCAGUACAGAGUCAAUGUGGAGACUAUAUACAGGGGGUACCGGUACUGAGUCAAUGUGGAGGAUAUAUACAGGGGGUACCGGUACAGAGUCAAUGUGGAGACUAUAUACAGGGGGCACCGGUACAGAGUCAAUGUGGAGACUAUAUACAGGGGGUACCGGUACAGAGACAAUGUGGAGGCUAUAUACAGGGGGUACCAGUACAGAGUCAAUGUGGAGGAUAUAUACAGGGGGUACCGGUACAGAGUCAAUGUGGAGGUUAUAUACAGGGGGUACCGGUACAGAGGCAAUGUGGAGGUUAUAUACAGGGGGUACCGGUACAGAGUGAAUGUGGAGGUUAUAUACAGGGGGUACCGGUACAGAGUGAAUGUGGAGGUUAUAUACAGGGGGUACCGGUACAGAGUGAAUGUGGAGGUUAUAUACAGGGGGUACCGGUACAGAGAGGCA